rnacentral:rRNA from 1 species
UACGGAGGGUGCGAGCGUUGUCCGGAAUCACUGGGCGUAAAGGGCGCGUAGGCGGCGGGGUAAGCGUGCGGUGAAAGCUCGGGGCUCAACCCCGAGUCGGCCGUGCGAACUGCCUUGCUUGAGCACUGUAGAGGCAGGUGGAAUUCCGGGUGUAGCGGUGGAAUGCGUAGAGAUCCGGAAGAACACCAGUGGCGAAGGCGGCCUGCUGGGCAGUGGCUGACGCUGAGGCGCGACAGCGUGGGGAGCAAACAGG